rnacentral:rRNA from 1 species
AAGUCGUAACAAGGUCUCCGUUGGUGAACCAGCGGAGGGAUCAUUACCGAGUUUCAAACUCAUAACCCAUUGUGAGUAUACCAAAGUUGCUUCGGCCUCUGUUUCGGCAGUGGCCGAGGGCCCCAAACCUCUAUUUUAAUCAUGUGUUUCUUCUGAGUAACCAAAAAAAUAAAUCAAAACCUUCAACAACGGAUCUCUUGGCUCUGGCAUCGAUGAAGAACGCAGCGAAAUGCGAAAAGUAAUGUGAAUUGCAGAAUUCAGUGAACCAUCGAAUCUUUGAACGCACAUUGCGCCCGCUGGAACUCCGGCGGGCACGCCUGUCCGAGCGUCAUUUCAACCCUCAGGCCCCCCUUCGCGGGCGGGACUGGUGUUGGGGCUCGGCCGCUAUCCUGCGGCCGUCCCCUAAAUUCAGUGGCGGCCUCGCCGUGAUCCCUUGCGUAGUAAUACACCUCGCACUGGAAAGCGCCGUGGCCACGCCGUAAAACCCCCAAUUUUCAAUUGUUGACCUCGGAUCAGGUGGGAAUACCCGCUGAACUUAAGCAUAUCAAUAAGCGGAGGAAAAGAAACCAACAGGGAUUGCCUCAGUAACGGCGAGUGAAGCGGCAACAGCUCAAAUUUGAAAUCUGGUCCUCGGGCCCGAGUUGUAAUUUGCAGAGGAUGCUUUUGGCGACGUGCCUACCGAGUUCCCUGGAACGGGACGCCAUAGAGGGUGAGAGCCCCGUACGGUAGUGUCACCGAGCCUCUGUAAAGCUCCUUCGACGAGUCGAGUAGUUUGGGAAUGCUGCUCUAAAUGGGAGGUGUAUGUCUUCUAAAGCUAAAUACCGGCCAGAGACCGAUAGCGCACAAGUAGAGUGAUCGAAAGAUGAAAAGUACUCUGAAGAGAGAGUUAAACAGCACGUGAAAUUGUUGAAGGGGAAGCGUUUAUGACCAGACUUGGGGUCUGCCGAUCAACCAGCGUUCUCGCUGGUGCACUCGGCAGGCUCUAGGCCAGCAUCGGUUCGCGCCGGGGGACAAAGGUUUCGGGAACGUAGCUCCUUCGGGAGUGUUAUAGCCCGUUGCGUAAUACCCUGGGGCGGACUGAGGAACGCGCUUCGGCACGGAUGCUGGCGUAAUGGUCACCAACGACC